AAAUAGAACUUUGCAGAGAGAGUUAACAGGGCGUGAAACCGUUGAUUGGCAAACGAAUCGGAGCCACGAAGUCGUUUCGUUGUUAGUUGGGCGGAGUUCAGUUCGCGCCGAAAGACGCGGGCGUAUUCUCACGCUCAUCCAACCUUGUGAGCGUACACUGCAACUUGUUAGACGAUCAGCUGUGGGCUGAGUGACGCAGAGCGAGCAAUCGCGCUGCGGCACGCAUUGUCUGUUCGCUCGCGGUAGUAGUAGCGCAGCUGACUUCAGUCUUUUUGUGUUGCUGGCCGCGUGGCGGGUGAACUACAGCUGAAUACUGACAAGCGAAAUGAAAACCGUUGAAAAACGUUAGAGAAAAAGCGGUUGGUCACAUGGAUGUUUACACGUUCGACUGUUAGGUCUAAGCUUGGCAUUUUUGAAUUCAGACCUGCUUGCUACCAGUGGGGCAACUCCUGGUGCUUGUACGGCUUCUGUCUAAUCGGGUGUCGACUUGGCUUGGCAUCGUUCGGGCGUGAAACGAUUGAGCGUUCAUAUGAACUAAUCCGCAAUUUAAAUUGGCAGUGAGUAGGUCGGCUUUCCGAACGA
rnacentral:rRNA from 1 species